GUGCCCGUGGCUGCAGCUGCCGCGGCACUCCAUGCGGGGCACCUUGGAGGCGCUGACGCACGACGUGUAGCCCUGCUGCUUACGGAUGACUUCCCGAACGAUCUCGCCUUGACAGAGAUUCUCUGGGACCGGCAAAUGCCAUGCUUGCAGAUGUUACAGGAUUUGCAACCAGGAAAGACGCCUAGUGACUGCUGUGGUAAAUCCUUGAAAUCCUGCAGCUCAUUAUUGAUGCGGACAUCAUGAAUGCAUCCAUGAAAGCCAUUUGGUGUCUUAUCUGCACCCUGGCGCAGUGAAGAUAAUCCAGUAGAGGUUGGGAUCCCUUCAGAUAAAAACAAAAAGGGAAGACUUACUCACAGGAGGAGGGUUGUUAGACCAGGUGAUGUAGUUGGAGAGAUGGACAAGAUUCUGGACACAUGAAGCCUCAGAAUCCUUUCCACAGGAUGGAAGAUGAUUUGCUUCUGCAAGGACUAGUUAGAAUCUCAACCAAAGUGAAGAGCAACUGGCUGUACCUCCAAUGUAGAGGGGUGUGUUGAGGCUGACAGAAGAUUGUUUCUGGAGUUUUCCCAGACUCUUGGGAGUCCCCUUGUCCACCACCAGGUUCAGAGUUUGAUUCAGCAUCACCAGCUCCACGCUAUGAAACUGCCCAUCGUUCACUGUUUCCACACUAAAAAUAAAAGUCCAUGUAGAAGUGCCAAUGAAAGGAAGAAGAACAGCCAAAACCCAUCGUCUCUGGCAGCUGUGCAUUGAGGAGCUGGGAGGAGUAGCUGUAUGACAAGGAACCCUUCCCACUGGUGGGAUCAAUAUCUGAAGCUAAUGCACAAAACUACAUCCUUAUCUGAAGGAGGCCAAGCUAUGACCAUUUGUCAGAGGACAACAUUAUCACAUUUGGCAGUGCUAGCUCUUCCUUGGGCCAGGAUUUCACAGGCAUUAAUCACCUACUCCCCCACAGCAUGUGCUUUUUCCAGAUUAUGUAGAAGAGCCUUGACUAAUAGGCAAACAAAAGUCUGUGUGUCCUGGCAAUGCAACCAGCCACCCCACGCAGUGCUCACACUUUUCGGCAUACCCAGAGCUCGUAUUUUCAUUGGAAAAGCAGUGAGGUGCUCCCAUCUGUAGGUACUGGCGGGUGAAUAUUAUUCAGUUCUGACUCUUACACUUUUUAACUCAGGAGUAAAAUAUUGUAUGCCUAUAGACUGAGAAACAGAAGGUAGCUUCAGCCAUCAUCCAACACUGUAGUUUUGGAAAGCAGAUAAAGGCAAAACAGGCAAAGCACUCAUUUGCUUUUUGAGAAGACACUAACAUAUGAUGGAAGAGCUGAAUGGGGAUGGCCAGGAUAGCAGAAAAUCCCUAGCCAGUAGAUACUUGUAUUAAAGCAUUUAUUGUUGCUGCUGACAGAAAGACUUUUAAGAAGUCUUUGGAUUUUGAGAGAGACUGAGACAACACUGGGGGAGAAGCCAGCGGUGAGGGAAACGCUACACGAACUCUCCUUGGAGCCUCUUAUGUAGCUGGGCCCUUAGGAGACUCAGCAAUCGUCUGAGACAGUUGGAGACAGUGGUUUGGCCAGAGAUGAAGGGAAGAAAGCCACAGACGCUGAACAGUGCAUCACCACGCAGCUCGGAGCACAAACUUGCUGCGCUCGGCUUUUUUUCAAGGGGCCUUUUCCUGACCCAGCUCUCUGCAAGGGUUUUAUUAAAAUCUUAAUUGAAUUCUUAUUGGGGAUCAGGUGGUCUUACAGAGCUCAUCCUCCUGCCACAGCCUGCGGUAUGUAAAUACCUGCCUCGGAGUCAGGGAUUUAUUGUGUUUCAUCGGCAAUCUCGUUCGACAGCACUACCGUGCGCGAUGCCGGGGGCAUGGGUGCGGGAGCUUUUAAGCCUGCUGUAUUGACACUGGCAAUGAUGUGGUGAACAUGAGCUGUAGGAUUAAGACAGGAACAGCAAGGUGUAAACAUUUUAUGGCUCUGCAAAGCCCCGAGGCAAGGAGUCUAGAAUUGCCGCUGUGGUAGCCACAGCGCAUAACCAAGUCAGCGUCUGACCACGAGAGGGAGAUGGAGUAUCACAGAAAGGACCAAAGUGCUUCGGAAAAUCAGCAAGGCUUUUGCAUUCCUCCCAUUCGCUCUCCGAACCUGGGCUUUUUACAGCUUCAUUCACAAAUGAAUAUUGCACUCUGUUACUCACUCAGGAGAGAGGCAGAAGAACUUUUACAAGCUGAUGCUGCAGGUUUAUUUUGGCUUGCUGCUUAGAAUUUAUUUACUAAAGCAGAUCUUGUAACGUCACACACCUGACAGCUGACUUGAUCUUACACAACUCCUUCCUUUCUGCAAAGGUUUUCAUGCUUUAUGAUUAAAUCAAAAUAAUAUGUCUGAGCAAGGCAAGGGAGAGGGGAAAGGAACUGCAGGAAGAAGCCAAAUGGCUGCUGGAUUUGCACCAAGUUCUUUUUCAGGGGCACUGACAAAACCAAGUCCUGGUUUUUGAGAUUUUCCAACUAUCAGAGAGUCAUGAAUUUUUAGCCAGGUUACAAUUGCACUGUUGUGGGCCACUACCACUGGAUAUUAUAUAGUUUCCAAUGUAUUCUUGCUAAAUAAAGGAAGGAAUAUGUUUAAGUGUAAACAUUUGAAGCGUAAGCAAGGAUUUCCAGGAAUUUAAUUUAACAAUGCAGCUUGCUGAAUGAUAAACAGUAAAAGAAGCCAAAAGACCAGCUUUAUAUAAAAAUUGGAAAGAUUCUUCUUCAGGACCCAGGAAUUGCUUCGCUGACUGCAAUAAACAGUUUGCUUAGGGCCCGUCUCGUCACAGACAUUUCAUAUAGACUAUUCUCACAGUUUCUACAGUACCUUCACCUAAGGCUUGUUACAGACUUGACGCUGAAAAACCAUUUCAGUUACCAUCCAAGUGCAGUCACUUCUGGUGCCUUAGAAAUAGUUACCUUGAGCAACAGGAAGUAAUAGAGGGCCAAAUCCUGAUGUUCAGCAGGAGGAUUGGCUGUACCAGCGGUGCAGAGAAGAUCCACAUCUGAGCAAGCUCCUGCAGGCCCUGAGGCAGGAGAGCUGCAUUCCUGCUCCGCGUUGCAGGACUGAGCGGCUCCGGGAGGCUCUCACUUAGGGAACGUGCUGCUCCACAACCAGCAGCAUCGCGCACCUCUCUCUCCUCCGUCACCCUCAUCUUCUCAUAGCCCAGGUUACGUAUCUCGCACAAUCCGUUAUUUUCCUUUCAUCAAGGUUAUCCUAGCCUUUCAUUACUAUACUGUACUACACAGCUGAGAGCUGGCCAGAGCAUCUGAUCAAAUCUGGCAGGAUUACCAGGAUACCCAGGAAAAUACUAAAACAAGAUCAGAUUGUUACUCUUGCCAAAAAUAACACCGAAGCACCAGCAGUACACUCAGGAAUGAGUUUUAUUUUACUGUAAUCUUCAAGCAAUGUAGCAUCCCUUCACAGUGCACUGAAGCCUACAUACAGAAUUAACACAAAGGAAAUAGUAGCACCUAUUAAUCAUCAUCACUGAACCUCACAUGAGAAAUUACUGGAAGAUAUCGCCCUCAACUGCUCAAUGAUCCAGACAGCUUAACUUGUAAGGUCAUUGAAAUUAUGGCUUUAGCAGUUACAGGCUCAGGCUGUAGGUUAUGAUGUCUCCUCCAGAUCUGGAUAGUCUGUUAUUCUCAUUGAGGAUUCUCUGAUUUCCUCUUUUUCUCACAGGCACCUAAUCACCUACUUUAAUUCUCUAUGCACUGGAGACUUUUAUUCCACAGAAUUCUAGGUAUGUCUUGAGGUCUAGAUAAACGCUCUGCAGGUUCCUGUGCCUAGUCAGCAGGGGAAGCUAAGCACUUCUGAAAACCUCUGAAAAUGGAUUCAGAUGGUCUAAAUACUGUGCCGAGAAUCACUGAGAAAACGCCUACAGGGAAAAGAGAUGCAAGGACCUGGGUGAAACCUCAGCCAUGUGGAUAUUGCUCUUAGUUUCUGCAGUCUGUUAAGAUUCCUGCAAACAAUCUACAGAUAAAACAACCCACCUGAGUGACACAGCUAAGCGUAUAUGUGGGGAGAGCACAACUUCCAAACCUCAUGAGAACACCAGUGGGCCCAGCACCUUAUGUUCCCUCCAUGCCAACAUGGGAAGCUGGGAGCAGCUCUUGCAGGGAGCGGAGCCCGGUAGAGAAGGGUCUAUGGAAGAGCCAUUAAAAUGUCAUAUUGCAGGGAGGUGGCCUCAUCCGUCCGAGCAAUUCCAGAGAGAUGGGCAAAAGGACUCCUCAUAUGGGGCCCUCCACACACACACACGCAACGGACACCAUCUCUACCAGGAGCUCAGACUCCACAGCACAAAGGGAUGAAGGGAAGGGAUGUGUAUUAAACAUUAAAAACACAGCAAAUAUAUAAAAGAACUGAUUUCCUUGCUCAUUUUUGGUCUAUUUCUCUUCUGCCUCCUAUAUUUUCUUUCUCCUCCACUUCAGCCCCAAACACACACUGCUGUUAUAAACACUGCCUCCCCUUGCUCUAAUACCCACCAGUGCUUUACAGCUGAGCCACUGCAAAUAUGCCACUGAACAGAAAUGCAUUAAAGGAUUAAACCAUUCAAUUUGAACUUGUAAAACUUGGGCUUUGGGGUGCUUGUUUUUUGCUGAUGUGUAACGUACCUUUAGUGGAGACAGCAGGGAACAGCAGGGCAGAGAAGUCAAAAACAAAAAUAGCUUUAAGUAUCACAGCACACCAUGUCACUGAGGAAAUGUAUAACCAUCAAUUAUGCAAACGAGGACAUCAAUUCAUUAACUAUGAUCUCCAGAUUUUCCUGACCUCUGUCUUAAUGGGGACAUGCCUCAUUUGAAGUGCAGAACAAAGCAAACAUGAAGAUGGGAAGCAACUGAGGAGUGAAGGCCACGGAGUACACUGAAGUUAGGCAGUGUUUGAAAACACUCAGAGUCGAAGGGAAUAACCAGAAAUCCUGUCCAAAAGCUAAUCAGCUUACGACGCACGAGAAGGGCAAGCAUGGGAGAAGCGGUACCAAAAUCAAGAAACACACUGUUACAGCUGCAGGGAAAUGCAUUAAGGCGUUAGCGAUUUGGGAGUGGUGAAAGUCAUUCUGCACCGGACUUACUUCAGGUAUCAGUGGUGAUGGUUUUUCAUCUUUCCCAGUUCCAGUUACCUCCCAUCCUUAGUUACAGUUAUAAUCAGUCCCCAGUCUAAAAUAGAUUGAAACUUCUCCAUAGCAACAAAGGCAAAGUCAUAAUUGGAGUCAUGUUUGUACUGUUUCUACAAUAACCCAUCACUUCAAGCACUAUCAUCUUCAGAAGCCAAAUAAAAAACACAUGUUGAGAAAAAGCAUGAAAAAUGUUAAUGAAACACAAAACUAUGGAAGUAAGCAGUGAAAAAGAUAUAUUAAAGCACUCUAGUUAAUUUUCAG